UCGUGCUCGUGCGUGCGUAUAAUUGGGGGUGGAGCAGAAUCCGCCAUUGCUGCCGCUCGCUCUGCUUCUUCUUCUUCUUCCUCCUCCAACUCCUCCUCCGUUGGGACGGCGACGAGUUGAGUUUGAUUCUUUGAUUGAUUUCUCUUCUGAUUUUCCUCGGUAGGUGAGGUCUUCGAAAUGGUCGCCAUGAUGUGUUGGUGCUCAUCUUCCUCCUUGAUUCUAACGCCUGCGUUUCUUGGCGUGAAGCGAAGGGGGAGGAUGUGGCGCUCUGCCUUCUGCGAUUGAAGCUCGAUUCGCCAUUGCCGGCUACCUGGGGAACGGGAACCCGGACAGGGCGGCGCCUGGACGACCGGUUAGAAAUUUCUUGCCUGAAUUUAGCUGUUCUUGAUUACCUGCAUGCAUGCGUGGUGAAUGAAUGCGCAACAAUCGUUUCGUGUGUGCUUCUGUUGUUUGUGUUGGGGAGGAGUUCUUGGAUGUUCGGCUAUAUUAUUGGUGGUUUAGAAUGUUUGGGUGCAAAUUUCUACUCUUUAAUUUGUGCUGUUUUGCUGCUGUUAAAUUUGGGUUGUCUAAUAUUGUUGCCACUAAUUUUGUCAUUUCGAAAGUUAGUACUAUUUUA
rnacentral:sRNA from 1 species